rnacentral:rRNA from 1 species
UACGUAGGGGGCUAGCGUUGUCCGGAAUCAUUGGGCGUAAAGAGCGUGUAGGCGGUCCGGUAAGUCCGUUGUGAAAGUCAGGGGGCUCAACCCUUGAAUGCCGGCGGAUACUGUCGGGCUAGAGUCCGGAAGAGGCGAGUGGGAAUUCCCCGGUGUAGCGGUGAAAUUCGUAGAUAUCGAGAGGAACACCAGUGGCGAAGGCGAGUCUCUAGACAACUCCUGACACUGAGGCACGAAAGCUAGGGGAGCAAACAGG